rnacentral:rRNA from 1 species
AUGACCACUGAAUCCCCAGCUACCACCCAUCCUUUGUUCUUCACCACAAUCUCUCCAAAUCUUCUGCCCCGAUGUCUCCAGCUGCUGCUGGUUCCUCGCCGUCCUCUGGGUUUGGUGGCUGCCAUGGAUGCUGGUGGAGGCCGAGGACCAGCAGGGGGAGACUGCUCGGCCAUGAAGUGCGGCAACGUCAACAUCUCCGCUCCCUUCUGGCUCACCGACAAAGAUACGGGAAGAUCAUGCCCGGGCUCCGAUCCCUACCCAGACUUCGAUGUCGCUUGUAUCAACAACAGUAUUCCAACUCUACGGAGCUCUAUACCCCUCAACAGCGGCUUCAAAGUCCUCAACGUCUCUUAUGAGGAACGUAGCUUCUACGCGGUUGAUCUGGGCAAGCUCAACGUGUUGAACGCCACCGACAAAUGUCGUCCCGUGUUCUAUAACACCUCAGUCAAGCUCACCCCGCCGUUUAAGAUCGCCCCCGUCAACCUGAACCUCAUCCUAUACAACUGCACGGAGGAGGACGGAGCAGCGGCCACGGCACGUCUGAACAGAGAGCUGGCGCCGACGAACGUGAGCUGCGGGAACCAGUGGGUAGUGUUUGCCCGCGCGGGAGUGCCCCACGACGGCACCGGGAACUACAACAAUUACACUCUGAAGGGCUGCGCCGCCGUCGUGGUGCCGGUGCCGGCCUCGUCAGAGGGGGCGAACGCGAGCAACUACAAGCAGCUCUUCGACGAUGGCUUCCUCUUGACAUGGGAUCCCCCGCGUCAUCCACACUCUUCUUAUGCAGGGGACCGUAAAAUGGGAACAGGGAUGAUUCUUAAAAUAGUUGGCGCAGGACUAGGUGGUGCUGUACUCAUGGCAUGUCUCGUCUGUUUUGUCUGGUACAAACGCAAGAAGAGGAAACAAGCUAUAGCUUCAAAGGAGUUCAUGCGAAGUGGAUCAUCAAUGACGUCAUAUAGUAAAGACCUUGAGUUGGAUGGUUCUCCUCAUAUCUUCACUUUCGAGGAACUUGAAGUAGCUACUGAUGGAUUUAGUACCUCAAGGGAGCUUGGUGAUGGUGGUUUUGGAACUGUUUAUAAAGGAAAACUCAAGGAUGGGAGAGUAGUUGCAGUGAAACGCCUUUACAAGAACAACUACCGAAGGGUUGAGCAAUUCCUGAAUGAGGUUGACAUCCUGUCCCGCCUGCUCCACCAGAACCUUGUGACCCUAUAUGGAUGUACGUCUCGGAUGAGCCGUGACCUUCUUCUGGUGUAUGAGUUCAUCGCAAAUGGGACGGUCGCGGACCAUCUUCACGGAUCCCGUUUGGCGGAACGAGGCCUCACAUGGCCUCUGAGGCUGAACAUUGCCAUAGAAACGGCUGAAGCACUGGCCUACCUCCAUGCCGUCGAGAUCAUACACCGAGAUGUGAAGACGACUAACAUAUUGCUGGACAACAGCUUCCAUGUCAAAGUUGCAGACUUUGGGCUGUCGCGCCUGUUCCCGCUCGAGGUCACCCAUGUCUCGACCGUUCCACAGGGCACACCGGGCUACGUCGACCCAGUGUACCACCAGUGCUACAAGCUGACUGACAAGAGCGACGUUUACAGCUUCGGCGUCGUCUUGGUGGAGCUGAUAUCGUCGAAACCUGCUGUGGACAUGAGCAGGAGCCACAGUGAGAUCAACUUGGCGAACAUGGCUCUCAACAGGAUUCAGAAUCAUCAAGUUGUUCAGCUGGUUGAUCCGGAACUCGGCUACGACACCGACCCCGAAACGAAGAGGACGAUCGAUCGCAUCGCCGAGGUGGCCUUCCAGUGCUUGCAGCUCGAGAGGGAUCUGAGGCCGUCGAUCAAGGAGGUGGUGGAGAUCCUAACUUGCGUCAGGGAUGGAGACUGUCAAUCUAAGAGCAUGAAGAAGAAGGCAUCUCAGAAAGAGGACGUGUGCUUGCUCGAGGACGGCCUGCAGUUCUCGCCCGACACGGUCAUACAUAGAUUCCAUAGCCAGUCAACUAACCACUCGGUAGCAUCAAAUGCUAGCGGAUUAUCUAACAGUAAAUGUUGA